rnacentral:rRNA from 1 species
GCAGUCGAGCGAAUGGAUUGAGAGCUUGCUCUCAWGAAGUUAGCGGCGGACGGGGUGAGUAACACGUGGGUAACCUGCCCAUAAGACUGGGAUAACUCCGGGAAACCGGGGCUAAUACCGGAUAACAUUUUGAACUGCAUGGUUCGAAAUUGAAAGGCGGCUUCGGCUGUCACUUAUGGAUGGACCCGCGUCRCAUUAGCUAGUUGGUGAGGUAACGGCUCACCAAGGCAACGAUGCGUAGMCRACCUGAGAGGGUGAUCGGCCACACUGGGACUGAGACACGGCCCASACUCCUACGGGAGGCAGCARUAGGGAAUCUUCCGCAAUGGACGAAAGUCUGACGGAGCAACGCCGCGUGAGUGAUGAAGGCUUUCGGGUCGUAAAACUCUGUUGUUAGGGAAGAACAAGUGCUAGUUGAAUAAGCUGGCACCUUGACGGUACCUAACCAGAAAGCCACGGCUAACUACGUGCCAGCAGCCGCGGUAAUACGUAGGUGGCAAGCGUUAUCCGGAAUUAUUGGGCGUAAAGCGCGCGCAGGUGGUUUCUUAAGUCUGAUGUGAAAGCCCACGGCUCAACCGUGGAGGGUCAUUGGAAACUGGGAGACUUGAGUGCAGAAGAGGAAAGUGGAAUUCCAUGUGUAGCGGUGAAAUGCGUAGAGAUAUGGAGGAACACCAGUGGCGAAGGCGACUUUCUGGUCUGUAACUGACACUGAGGCGCGAAAGCGUGGGGAGCAAACAGGAUUAGAUACCCUGGUAGUCCACGCCGUAAACGAUGAGUGCUAAGUGUUAAAGGGUUUCCGCCCUUUAGUGCUGAAGUUAACGCAUUAAGCACUCCGCCUGGGGAGUACGGCCGCAAGGCUG